GCUACGGGAGGCAGCAGUGGGGAAUAUUGCGCAAUGGGGGCAACCCUGACGCAGCAACGCCGCGUGAUUGAAGAAGGCCUUCGGGGUGUAAAGAUCGUUAAUCGGGGACGAAGGUUGACGGUACCCGAAGAAUAAGCCCCGGCUAACUACGUGCCAGCAGCCGCGGUAAGACGUAGGGAGCAAGCGUUAUCCGGAUUUACUGGGUGUAAAGGGCGUGUAGGCGGGUAUGCAAGCCAGAAGUGAAAUCUGGGGGCUUAACCCCCAAACUGCUUUUGGAACUGCGUGUCGUGAGUGAUGGAGAGGCAGGCGGAAUUCCCAGUGUAGCGGUGAACUGCGUAGAUAUUGGGAGGAACACCAGUGUCGACGGCGGCCUGCUGGACAUUAACUGACGCUGAGGCGCGAAAGCGUGGGGAGCAAACAGGAUUAGAUACCCGGGUAGUC
rnacentral:rRNA from 1 species